rnacentral:lncRNA from 1 species
UGAGUUUUUCUGGAACACAGAAUUGAAGCUGAGGAGGAGUGAGACAAGUGUACAGUAUGAUAGUAACUAUAACUUUACGUUAAAAUUUUCACCUGCUUAAAUAUUUUCCCCAUACACCCUUAAUCCCUGCUACUAUUUACUGCCUGUUUACUGAUUCUCCACAAAUACCCUCUCUCUGACAUUUGCAUCCUCAUCUUCCUUCAUCUUCACUUUCCUCCAAGUUUUAUGGUAGCACUGUGGUCUCUGUGGUCUCACUCAGCCACAGUCUUUCUCCACCUCUCUCAUCCUUUCUCUCCCUCUACUAUGAAUGCUGCUCAGAGUACUGGACCCUUAGUGAUCCUUGCUUCAAUCAAUGACAACCAGAGGGGAAAAAUCACAACUGUCAAUACAGUGUAACCCUCAGAGGAGGGUAUGCCCUGCUGCAUCAGUAUCUGUGUGUAAGCCUGUACUCAUUUCUUCUAGUUGAAAGCCAUGGCACAUUAUGCUCAACUCAUAAUAAGUGAUUAUUGAUUAUUUUAAUUCUGUUCUGACAAAGUUCUGAAGCUUACAGCAUGUUGUUGUUUGGAGACUGAUAUUAUCAGUAUGAGUGAGUGAGAUACAAUAUCUCCUGGCAGAAAACCCAUGUGACAUGUGACUCUGUAACUAAAGAAGCAAGACGGAGUCCACUGCUUGUGUGUCGUGGUUCCCAUCCAGGAGGGAAACACCGAGACCAGGCUCAAUUGGAGUGCUUGGCUUAGAAAAGAAUGUUUAAAAUCAUUCUUGUUCCGAGAUGACAGACCUCAUGAAUGCACUAGUAUUAAUUACAUGUGUGUUGUAAGUUGAGCCAGUGCAUUAAAGUAAUAUACUGUUCACAGUUAGAUGUUUGCUUACUGGGACAUGAGUCCAUCUUCAUGAAAGUUAUAAGUCUACCAAAGGAUGGAACCAUGUAUCCUGACACUUGGUACCAAAACCAAAUAUAGACAACAUGGAGUUAGGCCUGAGCUGAGCCUGUGGUCCUGUUCUACUCUUCCCUGUCCUCCAAUCCUUCCAUUCAUGAGUCAGCCAACAUAUGUACUGACAACAUGUAGCCUGGGUGUUUGGGGCUUUUCCCCAGUGGUUAUGGGUAUAUGUAUUUAUUCAUUUAAACUAGCACACCAGAGAGGAGCAGGGGGCAUGAGGGAGGACAGUUAAAGGGCCUGGGGUAUAGCUCAGUUGAUAGCAUGCACAGAACAACUGAGCUUGGUGGUGCACACUUGUGAUUUCAUCACUCACGAGGUAGAGGCAGGAAAGUUGGCUACAGAGUAAGUUUGAGGUUAACAAGAGACACAUGAACCUCUGUCUUAAAAGAAGAAGAAAAAAUAAAUGCACACACUUAAAAGUGCUAGGUAUCAGAUACUCAAAUGAAGGCAACAGGGUGCUGAUGUGCAGUAUGGAGCUAUUCUUGAUAAUACUCUACUGUGCUGUGGGAACUUUUGCUACAAGCAUAGAUUAUAGAGCUCUUAAUUAUCUCUCAAUUAUGAGAUAAUAAAUGUGCUUAAUCUCUUCAAUAUAUAAAAAAGUUUUUUUCAAAAAUUUACAAAAGACCAUAGAAAGUCUAAUUCAGUAUUGUUUAUGUUUUCCAUGUGUAGUUUAUAAUAGAGUGCACCUUACAGAAGAAAGUAACCUCAUGUAUCGUGGCUGUUUUGUCAAAUGUUGAGCACAACUUACUACUCUUUGGUACUGCUUAGGGCUCUAGCUUCAAUGUGUUUACAUGCACAGCACAUUUUAUUUGUAAAGAUUCACCACUUUAUUUUAUGCAUCAGAGGAUCUUCUUUAUAAAGAUACCUCAUUUUAAAAAAUUGGUUGGUUCUUUGAUGGUUCCUAUAUUCCAUUGAAAUCACCAGUUCAACACUUUUACAAAAACCAGAGCCUACCUGGAGUAGGUUUCAGUCCUUAUUGUGAUCAUUGCUUUUGCAUUGUUGGCUGAGUGACACACAUGAAACUGGCUACACAGACCCAGAUUUCUGUCUUCAUCCAUUGCUCGCUCUGAAGAGUAGGAAGUGGAGGGAUCGUCCAGGAUGCAGUACUGAGAGCUGCUGACAUAGCCAUCUCUACCGCACUUGGACAUUUUUCAAUGGGAAAUUUGGCCAGGUGGCCCACUUUUGUAGUCCCAGCACUUGGAUGUAGAGGGCUGCCAUGGGUUUAAGGUCAGCAUUAUCUGCAUAGCCUAUUCCUGGCCAGCCAGGGUUACAUAGUAAGACCCUGUG